AUUGAACGCUGGCGGCAGGCCUAACACAUGCAAGUCGAGCGGCAGCGGGAAAGUAGCUUGCUACUUUUGCCGGCGAGCGGCGGACGGGUGAGUAAUGCCUGGGAAAUUGCCCAGUCGAGGGGGAUAACAGUUGGAAACGACUGCUAAUACCGCAUACGCCCUACGGGGGAAAGCAGGGGACCUUCGGGCCUUGCGCGAUUGGAUAUGCCCAGGUGGGAUUAGCUAGUUGGUGAGGUAAUGGCUCACCAAGGCGACGAUCCCUAGCUGGUCUGAGAGGAUGAUCAGCCACACUGGAACUGGGACACGGUCCAGACUCCUACGGGAGGCAGCAGUGGGGAAUAUUGCACAAUGGGGGAAACCCUGAUGCAGCCAUGCCGCGUGUGUGAAGAAGGCCUUCGGGUUGUAAAGCACUUUCAGCGAGGAGGAAAGGUCAGUAGCUAAUAUCUGCUGACUGUGACGUUACUCGCAGAAGAAGCACCGGCUAACUCCGUGCCAGCAGCCGCCGUAACAC
rnacentral:rRNA from 1 species